AUAUUAUAGUAUCAAUUAUUUUGAGGAUUUAAAUGAUUAUUUAAACGAAGAGAAGAAAGCCUGUUCUCAUCACUGCGGUACAUAGACCUACAUUUCCCACAAGCCCCCUCAGUACAAACAUACCAAAGGUCAAAGUGCACAUUUACGGUAGUUUCAGACAGAAUCUUUUGUAUAUCUGUUUAUAAGUCAGAGGGUGUACAUUCAGCUAUAUCCUCGUUAGGGAAGUCUACCUCUCCGUUUUCCUUCGCUCAGGUUGAUUGACAAUGGCGUCAGAGGAGACAGGUGUGCCUUUGGACUCAGCUGAGAACCUGGAGGACAGCACAGGAGCAUAGAGCUACAGAGGGGCCAAAGACAGAGGUCCCAGCCAGUCCCAGCCAAGAUGGACCUCAGGUGACUGCAGGAAGACCUGACCUGACCUCAGCCCCCUUGAUGCCUAAUCCAAAGAUCUCCACCCCUCCACUCUCUGUUCCACCACCAUGUUCCUCAGCUCCACUCUCUGUUCCACCACCAUGUUCCUCAGCUCCACUCUCUGUUCCACCACCAUGUUCCUCAGCUCCACUCUCUGUUCCACCACCAUCUCUCUCACCUCCUUCAGUUCAGUACAGACUUGGUCAGGUUGGCUGGUCUGGAAGGUUGCGUGUCUGGGGCUCAUUUCGGGGUCAUCAUGACCUUGUUGAGUGAAGUCAUUCUCCCUGACUGCUCCAAUCUCUCCAUGAGCUCAUUAACUAAUCUAGUCUACUGGGCUCAGUCCCCUACUUUACAGUAUAUACACACUGGUCUUGGUUGACCAAUACAUGGGAAUUUAAAAUGUGUUCUCAAUGUAAAACUAGGUAAAUCCAAGGACACUGAUAACACAGAACACUGGGAAGGACAAACUACCAUACAGAUAUUAUAUAAGGCCAUACAGAUAUGUUGUUUUGUACUGACUUUGGGUGAGACGGGCUGCUAAAUAACUGCCCCCUCGUCUCUCCUCUCUCUCUGAUG